rnacentral:misc_RNA from 1 species
GGCAAACCUCGCUGCAAUUGGAGAAGAAAACGAUUCGUUCCACAUCGUCUUCCAUCUUGCUCCAUCCAAUCUCACGGUCAAAUUCUCUUUCUGCUCUCUCUUGGUAGAAACUGCAGAUACCAGAAGCUUAAAUUCAUUUUAAGGCUUUUUUUCUUUAAACCAUUUGUUACUUUUCUCAGUAAAAACUCGGUGGAUUUCAAAAUUCUAAGAAUAUAAUUUGAAUUGGUGUAGCGAUUCAAGUGUGUGUGCGGAAACUGGGAUCUUUCUACUGGUUAGGGUUUGACUCUGAGCUUCCACGAUUGAUUUUAUAUAUGGAUUGUCCCAUUAGAGGUAUGGAAACUGUGGUAGCAACUGUUAGUGGCUACCAUGGGUUGGAGCGGUUCAACCUCAUCAAGCUGAUAUCUCAGGCUGGUGCCAGUUAUGUGGGUGCGAUGUCAAGAUCUAAUACACAUUUGGUGUGUUGGAAAUUUGAGGGAAGGAAAUAUGAUCUUGCCAAGAAGUUUAAAACAAUUAUAGUUAACCAUCAGUGGGUGGAAGAUUGCAUAAAGCAAGGGAAGCGUGUUCCAGAGCAACCCUACAUGCUGCAAAGUGGAAAAGAAGUGGGGCCUUUAUUGCUGGAGGUCCCAAUUCCUGACAAGGUUGGAUUCUUGAACGAAAACCCUAAAGCACUGGCUGACAAAUCCAAUAAUUCUGAAGGCUAUGAAAGACUACUAAAUGGUAUGGUCUGUGGAAAUUCUGGCCUUGCGACUUGGACCAGUUCUUUUUUGUUGGAUGAGAAUUUUUUUCCCGAGGUCAAUAAAAAGAACAUUAGUGCAUCUAAAUCAAAGCCAAAUCAGGUAAACAAAUCUUCAAAGCAGGAACGCAGGUCAAGUGGUAGAUACUGUUUUCAGGACCCUCCUUUAUCUGGUUUAGUUACAUUGGAGCAUGAAGGGCCUGUGAGAGAGAAAGGGAGGAUUUCGGGGCAUGAGAGGCCAAAUACUUGUUCUGGCAAGCAACUAAUGAGGGGAAAAAGGAAGAUUUCUGAUAAUAUUGGAAGCACUUCUUUGGCUGAACCUUCUCGAAUUGGACGGAGGCUUGUGAAGAAAAAUGUUAGCAGAUACAACAUGGAGAUUGUGUCUUUGGAUUCUGAUCAAGAGCUCUCUCCAGUGGGACUUCAAAACAAGAACAGUAAAACUGCAGCUCCAUCUGAAAAUGAAUAUUGUGAAAGGAAUGUUAAUACAUUUGAAACUGGAAGAACAUCUGAUGCUGCCUUGAAUAACAGCAGGGCUUCUGCAUUUGAAUUUUCUAAUGAUAUUGCAGUGAUAAGAGAUUGGAAUCAUCUACCUUCCAAGGAUUCACAUUCACAUACUGAGGAGGCACAGACUGCAGUAGAAAGAUCAGAUGAUUUUCCUGCCAUGGAGAACUUUGAUGGAAAGAACAAGGAUGUGAGUCACUCUGAAUCCAUUACCAGAUUACCUACUUCAAUGGAAUUAUCAUGUGUUAUCUGUUGGACAGAAUUUAGCUCAACGAGGGGUGUUUUGCCAUGUGGACAUCGAUUUUGUUAUUCAUGUAUCCAAAACUGGGCUGAUCAUUUGGUUUGCUCAUUUUAUUAAUCCACACUGUAUGAUCUCCAACAAUUCAGUGUCUCAAUAGACUUCUCAAUGCGUCUUCUUUGAUAUGUUGUUCUGUGUCAUUUAGUCAAUCACUGUUUUAAAGCUUUUCCUUCUGAUGCUGGUGAUAUAUGUAGAUUUCAAGUGGAAAAAUUUCAAGAUGUCCUUUGUGCAAGGGUAGUUUUGUAAGCAUAACUAAAUUUGAGGAUGUGGCCACUUCUGAUCAGAAAAUUUACUCUCAAACUAUUCCUUGUGCCUCCUCAACAACAGAUAUUUUCUUAUUAAAUGAUCAAGAAGGAGGCAGAUUUGGUGCUGAGUCUUCAUUAGCAUCAGUUUGUGGUGAAUGCUGUUGCCGGGAGCCUGAGGAUCUUCUAAUUACUUGUCAUUGCUGCCAGAUUCGAUGUAUUCAUAUAUACUGCCUGGACCCUCCUCUGUUACCUUGGACCUGCAUUCACUGUAAGGAUCUCCAAAGGCUCUAUUAUCAAGCCAGAUAAUAUGUUUCUCAGGAGUACAUUGCUUACACAGCAAGGAUCUUCAUAUUUUAUACUCGUAGCAUUUUAGCAUCAGUGCUGCUCAUGCAGUUUUGAUCCGUGUAAAUCACUGAAUAAAUGGUUAUGCUUUUCCUUCUUUCAACAGUCAUUGCUAGUACCAGCAGUUGAAACUGCUCAUAGUCAUUAACCGAACAACAUUUGGCACAUCAACUAAUAGUGCCUCUUAUCAUUACACCCAUUAUUGUCUUCAAAAUCUCAGUUAUUACUUGAUUAUGACAAUAUUCUCUUACUCUAUG